UACGGAGGUGGCAAAUGUUGCUCGGAAUCACUGGGCGUACAGGGCACGCAGGCGGAUAUUCAAGUCAAUAGUGAAAGUCAUAUGCCUAACGUAUGAAUUGCUAUUGAAACUGGAUAUCUAGAGUUUUGCAGAGGACGAUGGAACACCUGGAGUAGCGGUGAAAUGCGUAGAUAUCAGGUGGAACACCGACGGCGAAGGCAGUCGUCUAGGCAAAAACUGACGCUGAGGUGCGAAAGCUGGGGGAGCGAACAGGAUUAGAUACCCUGGUAGUCCCAGCCAUAAACGAUGAGUGCUAGGUAUAUGAGUGUUAGAACUUAUGUGCCGCAGCUAACGCAUUAAGCACUCCGCCUGGGGACUAUAAUCGCAAGGUUGAA
rnacentral:rRNA from 1 species